GCUGAUGAAGUCCUUGCCCUGACCAUCCUCUCCAGCCUCCUGUCAGAGCAGCCACCGGGGGCUCAGCCGCCUCCAAUCCCCUCCAUCUCGUUGGGGCCGCCCCCACCUCUCAGCUUCCGGCAGCAGCCGCCUCCCCUACGUCCCCUCUCCCUCCCGGCCUCAUCUCGGCCCCCACUCACCGCGCCCUGCCACAGGAGGAGCCCGCUGGAAGAGCUGGUCCGGACUUCCAACUCGAUGGACCCUACCAGGCUGGGUCCUAACCCGGACGCCUCGAGGCAAACGUGACCUCUUCUCACCCGGAGCUCCAAUUCCUCAAACACGGCCUGGAUCCUAGUGACAAGUCUACCCAGUCCCCUACCCGAGACCACCCCGCCCCACCCCCGCUCCUCACCUGUGGCAGAGCAGCGCAACGUGGCGGUCGUCCCGGCCUCCACGGUCAUGACCGGCUCCUCCACCCGCGCCUGGGGUGCCCCUGGGGCACCGAGGCCCGUCUCCACACUCACCACCACCUGGGCCUGCGCCGUGCCCAGCGCGUUUUGGACCACACACAGAGCCAGCAGGCCGCGCUGGACGGCUCCCCCCGCCCCCCGCAGAAGACCCAGCCAGGCUGCUCCCCCGGGCCCUCAUACCAGAUGCUGGGCGGGAAGGCUGCCCCCGCGCCUGUACCACGUGACCCUGGGCUGGGCCUGGCCGGCCACCAGGCAGUUCAGGUCCAACGUCUGCCCUUCGGUCACCGAUGAGGACGAGGACUCGAUCCGGAUGGGGGAGUUGGGUCCUGGGCCAAGGUACGGAGAGAAGGGUCAGAGGCCCGGGAACAGAGAACAAGCAACAGCCUGGGCCCCGGGGGAGCUCCGCACAUCGAGCAAGCAGCAGCCGGGACAGCAAGGCUUCCAGGGUGCUGGGAUCCCCGGCGUGACACACUCUCACGACACUUCUUCUCACGACACCAAAAACUUCUCACUUUAGGCUUCAAGGCUCUCCAUCACCUUGCCCCCUCCUACCUCUCUUCCCUUUUCUCUUUCUACCGCCCACCCCGCACGCUCCGCUCCUCUGCCGCCCACCUCCUCACCGUCCCCCGUUCUCCCCUGUCCCGCCGUCGACCCCUGGCCCACGUCCUCCCGCUGUCCCGGAAUGCUCUCCCUCCUCACCUCCGCCAAACCAACUCUCUUCCUCUCUUCAUAAGCCCUACUGAGAGCUCACCUCCUCCAGGAGGCCUUCCCAGACUGAGCCUCCCCUUUUCCCUCUGCUGCCUCUCUGCCCCCCCUUCAUCUCCCCUCAGCUAAGCCCCCUUUCCCCCCUUUCCCUCUGCUCCUCCUCCCUCGCUUCCCCUCCUCUCAGCCCUCUGCUCAUCUGCUCAUUUGUACAUAUUUUUAUUACCCUAUUUAUUUUGUUAAUGAGAGGUACAUCCUCUUGUUUUUGUCUGUCUCCCCCGAUUAGACUGUAAGCCCGUCAAUGGGCAGGGAUUGUCUCUAUCUGUUGCUGAAUUGUACCUUCCAAUCGCUUAGUACAGUGCUCUGCACAUAGUAAGCGCUCAAUAAAUACUAUUGAAUGAAUGAAUGAAAGUCCCCAGGAUGCUGUCCGGUCUUCCAAGCCAAGCCCGGGCUUCCUCUAUACACUCCCCUCUCCCCUCCUGACCCCGGGCCCAGGAGAGACAUCUCUCUCCUAGGUCCCGGGUGUUCCUGUGACAGGAGG
rnacentral:lncRNA from 1 species